CCAUUUGCAUCUGGUGAUAAGGCCACUGCUGAGACUCUGCUCAGUCUCAAAGUAAACACCUUGAUGUACUAGUG